GUGAACGCUGGCGGUAGGCCUAACACAUGCAAGUCGAACGGCAGCACAGUAAGAGCUUGCUCUUACGGGUGGCGAGUGGCGGACGGGUGAGGAAUACAUCGGAAUCUACUUUUUCGUGGGGGAUAACGUAGGGAAACUUACGCUAAUACCGCAUACGACCUACGGGUGAAAGCAGGGGAUCUUCGGACCUUGCGCGAUUGAAUGAGCCGAUGUCGGAUUAGCUAGUUGGCGGGGUAAAGGCCCACCAAGGCGACGAUCCGUAGCUGGUCUGAGAGGAUGAUCAGCCACCAUGGAACGGGAACCGGGUCCAGACUCCUAGGGGAGGCAGGAGUGGGGAAUUUUGGAAAAGGGGGGCAAGCCUGAUCCAGCCAUACCGGGGGGGGGAAGAAGGCCUUGGGGUUGUAAAGCCCUUUUGUUGGGAAAAAAAAGCAGCAGGUUAAUCCCCCGCUUUUCUGGCGGCACCAAAAGAAUAAGCACCGGCUAACUUCGG
rnacentral:rRNA from 1 species